UGGAAGGCUUAAGAGACGUGGGAUUUAACUCCAUUUGGCUCUGCUGCACAGCAUUGGUGCGGCGCCGAGCCUCGACAUCGUAGACCCUCUCCCCGCAUUGGCCAGGAGGAGGGCGGGUGCUGAGGGCCCUGGCGCUGGCUGGCUCCGGGAGCCACCGCAACCCCUGGAGGCGAAGUCUUAGGAGUCCCGGAAGAAGGGGCGGGACUGCCUGGCGUGUGAGGCUGAAGACCAUCUCCAUACAACAUCCGGCUGUCUUUUCAUGAAGGAUGUCCCUAGUCCAGACUUUUCUCCUGAACUUCAGACCCAUACAGCCAGUCUACUGGACUCUUUGACCAACAUGUUCCACAAGCACUUCAAAUGUGGCCUUCAUGAAUGGCAUCAUCAUCUAACGAGUCUCUUAGCCGACUGAGCCACCCAGGCGCCCCUACAUCUAAUGAGUCUCUUAAGCCAAAGACCUAGAUGUCAUUCCAGGCAUGUCCUUCUCUCUUAUCCUACACAUCCAAAGAUCCAAAGGUCAGUUUUACCUUCUUAGCAUUUCAUGAAUCUACUUCUCUCCACCUCCACCCAUGCACUUUCUUACCCAGAUUGUUAGUUACCAGGGCCUAAUUUAGUCUUCCUAUGUUCAGUCUUGCCUUUCUCCAGUCUAUGCUACUGCCACAGUGGCCUUUCAAAAACACGAAUUUGCUCAUAUUGUUGUCCCAUUUAAAAUCUCUUAGUGACUCUCAGAUGCCCUUCGGGUAUAAUCCCAACUCUUGAGCUUUGCCACAGAAAUACCUAUUCAUUUCUCCCCUUCCACAGCUGGGCUCUGUCCAACAUUGCUUGCGGUUUCCUACUGAUGCCUUGCCCUGUCAUGUCUCACCUCACCCCACUUUUUACCUGGCCACCUUUUUUUACUCAUCUUACAGAUUUCAGCUGCGAAGUCAUCCCUUCCAGGCUUAUUCCCUGAGCCCCCAAGAUUGGGUGCCCCUUAUCUCUGCUCAUGCAGCACUUGAGGCUAACCUCAGUUAUAGCAAUUAUUAGAAUGAUAUAUUAGAUA